rnacentral:rRNA from 1 species
AGAGUUUGAUCCUGGCUCAGAUUGAACGCUGGCGGCAUGCUUUACACAUGCAAGUCGAGCGGCAGCGCGGGGGCAACCCUGGCGGCGAGCGGCGAACGGGUGAGUAAUACAUCGGAACGUGUCUUGUAGUGGGGGAUAACCCGGCGAAAGCCGGACUAAUACCGCAUAUGCUCUACGGAGGAAAGUGGGGGACCCGCAAGGGCCUCACGCUAUGGGAGCGGCCGAUGUCCGAUUAGCUUGUUGGUGAGGUAACGGCUUACCAAGGCGACGAUCGGUAGCUGGUCUGAGAGGAUGAUCAGCCACACUGGGACUGAGACACGGCCCAGACUCCUACGGGAGGCAGCAGUGGGGAAUUUUGGACAAUGGGGGAAACCCUGAUCCAGCCAUGCCGCGUGCGGGAAGAAGGCCUUCGGGUUGUAAACCGCUUUUGUCCGGGAAGAAAAGGCAUUCCCUAAUACGGAGUGCUCUUGACGGUACCGGAAGAAUAAGCACCGGCUAACUACGUGCCAGCAGCCGCGGUAAUACGUAGGGUGCGAGCGUUAAUCGGAAUUACUGGGCGUAAAGCGUGCGCAGGCGGUUCGUGAUGUCUGGUGUGAAAGCCCCGGGCUUAACCUGGGAAUUGCAUUGGAAACUAGCGGGCUGGAGUGUGGCAGAGGGGGGUGGAAUUCCACGUGUAGCAGUGAAAUGCGUAGAUAUCGGGAGGAACACCUGUGGCGAAAGCGGCGCACUGGACCAUAACUGACGCUGAGGCGCGAAAGCUAGGGGAGCAAACAGGAUUAGAUACCCUAGUAGUCC